rnacentral:rRNA from 1 species
AUUGAACGCUGGCGGCAGGCCUAACACAUGCAAGUCGAACGAGUGGCGGACGGGUGAGUAAUGUCUGGGAAACUGCCCGAUGGAGGGGGAUAACUACUGGAAACGGUAGCUAAUACCGCAUACCAUCGGAUGUGCCCAGAUGUGAUUAGCUAGUAGGUGGGGUAAUGGCUCACCGAGGCGACGAUCCCUAGCUGGUCUGAGAGGAUGACCAUCCACCCUGCAACUGCUCCACUGUCCACACUCCUACGGGAGGCAGAGUUGGGGAAUAUUGCACACUGGGCUCGAGCCUGCUGCAGCCAUGCCGCGUGUAUGUAGAAGGCCUUCGGGUUGUAAAGUACUUGCAGCGGGGAGGCGUUACCCGCAGAAGAAGCACCGGCUAACUCCGUGCCAGCAGCCGCGGUAAUUC